rnacentral:rRNA from 1 species
UACGUAGGGGGCUAGCGUUGUCCGGAUUUAUUGGGCGUAAAGAGCGUGUAGGCGGCCAGGUAGGUCCGUUGUGAAAACUCGAGGCUCAACCUCGAGACGUCGGCGGAAACCCUCUGGCUAGAGUCCGGAAGAGGAGAGUGGAAUUCCUGGUGUAGCGGUGAAAUGCGCAGAUAUCAGGAAGAACACCCGUGGCGAAGGCGGCUCUCUGGGCCUGUUCUGACGCUGAGGCGCGAAAGCUAGGGGAGCGAACAGG